rnacentral:sRNA from 1 species
ACAACAACAACAACAACAACAACAACAACAACAACAACAACACGUACGAGUCACGUUUUAGGGGGACUAUUUUUAGACUUU